rnacentral:lncRNA from 1 species
UUAUACCAUAAAGAAAAUACACCAUGACUGUUUACGAGAAGCAGGAGGAGAGAAGGGGACUAUCUAAAUGCAAAGAAAGUGACGCUCUGCCAUCUGUUCCCAUGCAUGGUCACCAGGCUGCUCUGCUGUAUUAGAGGCAGCUGCUCCCUCUUCCAAGAGUUAACGUGAGAUGCAGAAAAGAGAAUAUCCACCCUCCCACUCUGACCAUGCCUGCAAAGGAUCACAGUAAGAACCUCUAUGAAGCAUAUUGCCUUCCCUUGGCAGCUGUACUGUACUACUGCAGUUUCUGGUAGCCUGUUUGUGACACGCGCUGGCAGCAACAACAUUAGAACUGUUCUCCUUGAAUGACCAUCUCAGGAAUACCUAUUAACUCGCACCUACAAACAAGUUUUAUUAAUGUCCAAAAGCAACCAUUCACAAACCAAGAAAAUCAGAAAUGCACGUUUGCAUUUUAGUUGUCUGAUUCCAAGGAUGCUUUACCCUGAGUGAGUAACAUUA